rnacentral:rRNA from 1 species
UACGAAGGGGGCAAGCGUUGUCCGGAGUUACUGGGCGUAAAGGGCACGCAGGCGGUGCGGCGCGUUUCGCGUGACAGCGGAGGGCUUAACUCUCCGAGGAUGCGAAAGACGGCGGCACUUGAGGGCCAGAGAGGGACACGGAAUUCCGGGUGGAGUGGUGAAAUGCGUAGAGAUCCGGAGGAACACCGAAGGCGAAGGCAGUGUCCUGGCUGGUGACUGACGCUGAGGUGCGAAAGCUAGGGGAGCGAACGGG